GAUGAACGCUGGCGGCGUGCCUAAUACAUGCAAGUCGAGCGAACGGACGAGAAGCUUGCUUCUCUGAUGUUAGCGGCGGACGGGUGAGUAACACGUGGAGAACCUACCUAUAAGACUGGGAUAACUUCUGGAAACCGGAGCUAAUACCGGAUAAUAUUUUGAACCGCAUGGUUCAAGAGUGAAAGACGGUCUUGCUUUCACUAAAAGAUAGAUCCGCGCUGCAUUAGUUAGUUGGUAAGGUAACGGCUUACCAAGGCAACGAUGCAUAGCCGACCUGAGAGGGUGAUCGGCCACACUGGAACUGAGCCACGGUCAAGACUCCUACGGGAGGCAGCAGUAGGGAAUUUUCCGCAAUGGGCGAAAGCCUGACGGAGCACCGCCGCGUGAGUGAUGAAGGUCUUCGGAUCGUAAAACUCUGUUAUUCGGGAAGAACAUAUGUGUAAGUAACUGUGCACAUAUUGACGGUACCUAAUCAGAAAGCCACGGCUAACUACGUG
rnacentral:rRNA from 1 species